CUUGAAUCAAAUUUUAGUUUAGUGGUACUUGGCGUCGGAUGAAAUACUAGAUUAAGGGAGCAGGUCCCGAAACCACACCUUGUGCAUUAAGCGAUUUCCUCUGUACCUGUAAUCGAAAAUAUAAGCUAAUUAAAUGCUUACACGUGAAGUCAUUUGCAGUGUUUGGAUACUUCUUUGAGAUACAUAGUAAAUUCAGUCUGGUGAAGUCGUUUUCGGUCUUUUCCGGUAAUUUUCCAAAAACAUUUUUGCGCAUAAAACGCGUUAAUUGAAUUUGUCCAAUGCAAGAAUUCACCGUCCGAAGUUGAUUGCAAGGAGUGUGAGCAGCCGCUUAGCAUAGCCUUGAAUAAGCAAAAGGAUAAGGUGUUAGCACUGGAUUCGAAGGGAUCCUCACAGAGGAGUGGACACACUACAGCAAACCUUCAGCACAAACAAAUUACGCUCUACAUUUAUCUUUGGUUAUCUAGCUGUAUGAGUAUAGCUAACAUCAUAAAGCUAGCUUACCGAAGUUAAUACUAGGGCUUUUUCAUCACCGGCAGCCAGAAAAAUAAUUACUUUUAGUGUAUUAUAUAUAAGGCUCGUUUAAAAAUAGAUUAUGCUUUUUUUAAAUAAACUGAUAAUGAGUACCA